rnacentral:rRNA from 1 species
ACACUUUACAAUGCGGGAAACCGCGAUAAGGGAACCCCGAGUGCCAGCAUCAAAUGUUGGCUGUCCAGAUGAUUAAAAAUCAUUUGUUAGCAAGGGCCGGGCAAGACCGGUGCCAGCCGCCGCGGUAACACCGGCGGCCCGAGUGGUAGCCGUUUUUAUUGGGUCUAAAGGGUCCGUAGCCGGCCUGAUAAGUCCUUUGGGAAAUCUGGCAGCUUAACUGUCAGGCUUCUAAGGGAUACUGUCAGGCUUGGGACCGGAAGAGGUAAGGGGUACUCCAGGGGUAGGAGUGAAAUCUUGUAAUCCCUGGGGGACCAUCUGUGGCGAAGGCGCCUUACCAGAACGGGUCCGACGGUGAGGGACGAAAGCUAGGGGAGCAAACCGGAUUAGAUACCCGGGUAGUCCCAGCCGUAAACGAUGCUCGCUAGGUGUCAGACACGGUGCGACCGUGUUUGGUGCCGCAGGGAAKCCGUUAAGCGAGCCACCUGGAAGUACGUCGCAAGGC